GAUGAACGCUGGCGGCGUGCCUAAUACAUGCAAGUCGAGCGAACAGACGAGGAGCUUGCUCCUCUGACGUUAGCGGCGGACGGGUGAGUAACACGUGGAUAACCUACCUAUAAGACUGGGAUAACUUCGGGAAACCGGAGCUAAUACCGGAUAAUAUAUUGAACCGCAUGGUUCAAUAGUGAAAGACGGUUUUGCUGUCACUUAUAGAUGGAUCCGCGCCGCAUUGGCUAGUUGGUAAGGUAACGGCUUAUCAAGGCAACGAUGCGUAACCGACCUGAGAGGGUGAUCGGCCACACUGGAACUGAGACACGGUCAAGACUCCUACGGGAGGCAGCAGUAGGGAAUCUUCCGCAAUGGGGGAAAGCUUGACGGAGCAACGCGGCGUGAGUGAUGAAGGUCUUCGGAUCGUAAAACUCUGUUAUUAGGGAAGAACAAAUGUGUAAGUAACUAUGCACGUCUUGACGGUACCUAAUCAGAAAGCCACGGCUAACUACGUG
rnacentral:rRNA from 1 species